UUCCCUUUCCCAUACCUUCUCCCUUCCCUGUAACUUCUUGAAACAUGAAACAUGGAAACCCAAAAAUAACUCUUCAAAUUCUCUCUCCUUCCCAUGGUGAUUUCCAAAAAUUAGUCAAUUACAGCCUUCAUCAACUACUCAACGGCUCAAUCUUCGACCGCCAUUCCUCUUCUCGCUCCUUUGAGGCUUUGAAUCUCACUUUCUCUCUCUUCUGUUCAAGCCUAUUUACCAGGGUUUUUAAAUCGAAUUCUUCCCAGAAAAUUUGUCGAAGUUCGAUGGCAAGGCGGUGUAUUUUGAUGGAUUGGAACUCCGAGUAAAAACGAACAGGGUCGAAUUUGGUCAAUUAGGUAGGGUUUAUUGAAGAUUUGGGUUUAAUUUUAUUGAUUUGAUUGUUGUUCAUGUAUGUGGAAUUUGUUCAAUUUAAUUGAAAAUUGAAGCGUGUAGUAUGUGAAUUUUGAAUUAAUAUUGUUCAUCUUUAUUUUCCUAUUUAUUAA